rnacentral:rRNA from 1 species
UACGGGGGGAGCAAGCGUUGUUCGGAUUUACUGGGCGUAAAGGGCGCGUAGGCGGCCAGUGCAAGUCAGUUGUGAAAUCUCCGAGCUUAACUCGGAAAGGUCAACUGAUACUGCAGUGCUAGAGUGUGGAAGGGGCAAUCGGAAUUCUUGGUGUAGCGGUGAAAUGCGUAGAUAUCGGGAGGAACACCAGUGGCGAAGGCGGCACUCUGGGCCAGUACUGACACUGAGGAGCGAAAGCGUGGGGAGCGAACAGG